rnacentral:rRNA from 1 species
UACGUAGGGGGCAAGCGUUGUCCGGAUUUAUUGGGCGUAAAGAGCGUGUAGGCGGCCAGACAGGUCAGCUGUGAAAACUCGAGGCUCAACCUCGAGACGUCGGUUGAAACCGUCUGGCUAGAGUCCGGAAGAGGAGAGUGGAAUUCCCGGUGUAGCGGUGAAAUGCGCAGAGUAUCGGGAAGAACACCCGUGGCGAAGGCGGCUCUCUGGGACGGUACUGACGCUGAGACGCGAAAGCGUGGGGAGCGAACAGG